rnacentral:tRNA from 1 species
GAGGCUAUAGCUCAGUGGUGGAGUGCAUGCUUGGCAUGCACGAGGUCCUGGGUUCAAUCCCCAGUGCCUCCA